UCUACGGGUGGCAGCAGUCGGGAAUAUUUCGCAAUGGAGGAAACUCUGACGCAGUGACGCCGCGUGCAGGAAGAAGGUUUUCGGAUUGUAAACUGCUUUAGACAGGGAAGAAAAAAGACAGUACCUGUAGAAUAAGCUCCGGCUAACUACGUGCCAGAAGCCGCGGUAAGACGGAGGGAGCAAGCGUUAUACGGAUUGAUUGGGUGUAAAGGGUGGGUAGACGGAGAAGCAAGUUAGUUGUGAACUCCCUGGGCUUAACUGAGGAACUGCAACUAAAACUACUUCCAUGGAGUACUGGAGAGGAAAGUGGAAUUCCUAGUGUAGCGGUGAAAUGCGUAGAUAUUAGGAGGAACACCAGUGGCGAAGGCGACUUUCUGGACAGCAACUGACGUUGAGGCACGAAAGUGUGGGGAGCAAACAGGAGUAGAUACCCCUGUAGUC
rnacentral:rRNA from 1 species